rnacentral:ncRNA from 1 species
AUUUAAGCCCAGUGCUCUCAAUGUUAAAGUGAAGAAAUUCAACCAAGCACGGGUAAAAAAUGAGAGUAACUAUGAAUCUCUUAAGGUAUCCAAAUGUCUCAUCAUCUAAUUAGUGAUGCAAAUGAAUGGAUUAACUAGAUUCCCACUGUCCCUAUCUACUAUCUAGCAAAACCACAACCAAGGGAAAGGGCUUGGCAUAAUAAACAAGGAAAUACGACCUUGUUGAGCUUGAAUCUAGUCCAAAUGUUUGAAAUUACUUGAGAGGUGUAUAAUAAGUGGGAGUAUUUUUAGGAAAAAAUGAAAUACCACUACUUUUAACGUUAUUUUACUUAUUUUGUGGGGUGGAGACAAGGCAUUUACCUUAUUUUUUCCCUUAAGACAGUUUCGAUGGGUCAAUCUGGGCAUAAGACAUUGUCACGUGGGGAUUUUGGAUGGGGUGAAACAUCUUUUAAAAAAUAACAUAAAAUAUAAUUGGUGUAUAUAGAACAUUUGUAUUUGGGAGAUCCUAGUGCACAACCACCCUUAUUACCUUUCCUUCCUAAUUUGUAGUUACAUCCAAUCAUUUCUAAAUUGAAUCUAGUUUCCUCACUUGCACAAUAUGAAUAUAUGUGUGAACUCUAGCCCCCAUUUUCUAGUACCAUGAGAUUGGAUAUCCAUGACCAUGAACCAAAUGUUCCUAAUGUUUCCAAGGUUAUCUCUUCUAACUUGUAUUUCUUAUUCCCUACCCAUGAUAUU